GACGAACGCCGGCGGCGUGCUUAACACAUGCAAGUCGAGCGGUAAGGCCCUUUCGGGGGACACGAGCGGCGAACGGGUGAGUAACACGUGGGUGACCUCGCCCUCCAGCUCUGGGAGUAAGCCUGGGAAACCGGGUCUAAUACUGGAUAUGACUCCAUGACGCAUGUUGUGGGGUGGAAAGCCUUGUGCGGCUGAGGAUGGGCCCGCGGCCUAUCAGCUUGUUGGUGGGGUGAUGGCCUACCAAGGCGACGACGGGUAGCCGGCCUGAGAGGGCGACCGGCCACACUGGGACUGAGACACGGCCCAGACUCCUACGGGAGGCAGCAGUGGGGAAUCUUGCGCAAUGGGCGAAAGCCUGACGCAGCGACGCCGCGUGA
rnacentral:rRNA from 1 species